rnacentral:rRNA from 1 species
UACAGAGGUCCCAAGCGUUGUUCGGAUUCACUGGGCGUAAAGGGUGCGUAGGCGGCCGGGUAAGUCUGACGUGAAAUCUCCAAGCUCAACUUGGAAAUGGCAUCGGAUACUAUUCGGCUCGAGGAAUGGAUGGGAGACUGGAAUUCUCGGUGUAGCAGUGAAAUGCGUAGAUAUCGAGAGGAACACCAGUGGCGAAGGCGAGUCUCUGGACAUUUUCUGACGCUGAGGCACGAAAGCCAGGGGAGCAAACGGG